ACGACCAUAGGGUGUGGAAAACAGGGCUUCCCGUCCGCUCAGCCGUACUUAAGCCACACGCCUGCCGGUUAGUAGUUGGGUGGGUGACCACCAGCGAAUCCCGGCUGUUGUAUGUU
rnacentral:rRNA from 1 species